UACAGAGGUCUCAAGCGUUGUUCGGAUUCAUUGGGCGUAAAGGGUGCGUAGGCGGUAGGGUAAGUCUGGUGUGAAAUCUUGGAGCUCAACUCCAAAAUUGCACUGGAUACUGCUCUGCUAGAGGACUGGAGAGGAGAUUGGAAUUCACGGUGUAGCAGUGAAAUGCGUAGAUAUCGUGAGGAAGACCAGUGGCGAAGGCGAAUCUCUGGACAGUUCCUGACGCUGAGGCACGAAGGCCAGGGGAGCAAACGGG
rnacentral:rRNA from 1 species